rnacentral:lncRNA from 1 species
CAGCCCCGCACUCGGCGUCCGUGGACGACACGCACACUCCUGCCGCCACCAGCCCUGGCCUCAGCCCCAGCUGCUUCCAGCCUCCCCCCUCCCAGCACCUGUCCGCCUGCCGUCAGCGCCGCUCACAACGUGCCGGUCCCCAAUAACCGACGCUGGGCUUGUCCUAGUCCUGCGGCUGCUGACACUACUAGCGCAAACCAAGAGCAACAGGGAGAAGUGUGCGGCGCUGGCGCACAAGCUGGCGUGGUGGCGGGGCUGGCUGGAGUGCCGCGCAGAGCUGGGCGGCCGUUUCCGCUGAUGCUCGCUGGGUUCAUCACCCGCUUUCGGCCAAUGAUUGGUCACAACGCCGGAGGGCUGCGCAUGCGGGCGCAUGCCGAGUUGCAGAGCAUUGGCCGAAAGCGGGUGAUGAACCCAGCGAGCAUAAGCUAAAACGGCCGCCCAGCUCUGCGCUGCACUCCAGGCAGCCCCGCCAUCACGCCAGUUUGUGCACCGGCGCCGCGCCCUUCUCCCUGUUGCUCGUGAUGUUUUGCGCUAAUGUCAGCACCCGCAAGACCAGGGCGAGCUCAGCGCCUGUUGGGGACCGGCGCGUUGGGACCAAGCGUUGGCCCAAAGCUGAUGAUGGGCUACGUGUGGGGGCGGCUGCAGGUCUUGAGCGUUAUUUGCGGGGUCGGGUUGGGUCGGGUUGCAGCGCACUGCUGGCGGCGGGUGUGCGCGCCCGCCGGGUGGCCAGACGUCGACGACCUGCUAUUUCAUCAUGACGAUGCGGGCGGCGGUGAGGUUCUGUUGGCCCUGGUGGGUGGUAGGGCGAGGGCCAGAGGUCGUGCCGCGGGUCGGUGGCUGUAGUGCGCAGGGCAGGUAGGCAGCAGUAGCUGUAGCUACGGGUGUGCGGGCACGGCCCCUGGGGCGCAGCAGGUGGUGCAGCUGAUGCGGUGUGGUGCUGUGGUGGUGCGCGGUGGCUGCCGUGGACACGACGUGCCUACCUGCCUUCUGAGGGGCGCCUGGUGGGCUCGAGAAUGGGCAGGCCAACACAAGCUGGCAGUGCACCCCGCGUACGUACGGCAUGUGCGGUACGACAAGUAAUAAGCUCGCCCGCUGGGCACUCGUGUCUGGCAUCUGUGCGCUGGGGCCGUGGGACUUGAGGUAGGCUAGGGUUUCAUCAAAUGAAGGCGCCGUCCGAACGCUGCAUGUGUUUGUGUGCUCGGGAGCAGGAUGCAAAUAGCUACGCAAGAGAGUGUGCGUGGCGUGCAGACCCCUUGUAUGAGUAGCUUGGGCACAACGACAUGCGUGUCUACUGCAAGCGUAAACACAUUAGAAGGUAAAUUCGAAGCGACAUGGCUUUGGCGGCAGUGCGGCAGUGCGGACGGCGGGCGGCUGUUUGAUUCGGGAUGCUGUGUAAUGGGGUUACGGGCUUACGGCGUGACGCGUGUGCACUGGCGCAGGAAAAGUUACGCAAAUUGGUGUUUCAUUACUACUACUGCGACGCAAAGACAUGAGGGCUAGUAUGUCGAAGUGGUGAUGAUGCCCCGGUACAUCUGCUACUGUAGCAUUGUAAUGAACUCGGCGUGCGGUCCGCCAUUUAAAGUGCUCGACGCAGUGGCUGGCGGCCUGGCGGGCACGAGCUGAGCAGGCGCAGAGCCGCGCACGGCUAUCUGGGGCGGGCUAUGGGGAGCCCUCCCGAGUAGGGGCAGGCGAGACUUGGGACUGUUGCGGCGGGCACGGACGCAGUAGGGUUUUGCACGGACGCGGCGUUUCCGUAGUGAUGACGUGAUGGGGAGCUCGUGAUGGAACAUGGCAAGGGGCAGGAAAGCGUAGUCCCGAUGUGUGUGGCUCCCACCCGUGCCCACAUAAAUGCGUAGCAAGAAGGGACAAGGCAUUGGUGCGUCGUUCGCGCGCUGUUACUGUACCGACGGUAGCUGGCAGGUGGGGAGCUCGUCCAUGAUGCAUGGGAACGCGGGCUGGCUCUUAUGUGGUUGGCUGUAUACAGUUGGAAGCUGCGCGGCAGUGCAUUGGCAGCCCAAAAGCACUCACGGUGAUGGUCUUAUUAUCCCCCCGCCUCAGCCGCGGGUGCUCGGUGCAUCAGGCCAGCACUACCGUACGCAGCAGCCCUGGGUCAUCAUGUGCGUGUGGAGGCGUGGCACUGCCAAGUGGCAAUUGGGGCCGCGCAGAUGUGUUGACAUGUAUGAUGUGUGUUGAACCAUGGGGGCCUGGGGCGGGAGUAUCUUGGUUCCCGGGAACCGGCGGGUCUCAGCCACUUUCUUCCCUUUCGUGCGGCUCUGCCCUGCCCUGCCCCUGGCCCUGGACCCGCCUUGUGGGAUUGGGAUUACAGCCAUCGCACUCGGGACUACGGCAGCAGUAGCAGCAGCAGCUGCGGUCGCUGCUCAUGCUCACGCUUUUCUUUUUGCUUGUGCUAGCUCACUGGCCUCGGCUCUACAACGUCAUGUUCGCUUGUGCGUGUUGCGUUCUUUCAAGCAUAUCAAUAACAGCUACCGCGGUUGGGGCGGUGGCUGUUUCCGCUAAGCCGGAUGCCGCGCCGCCCUCCUCCUGGGCCCCGCCGCCACCGCCCCUACUGACGCCGCUGCUGCUGACGUCACUGCUGCUGCCGGCCCCGCCCACGUCCGCAGCCGAGCCAGCGGCCGAGGGCGGCGCCGGGGCGGCGGCGGUGGGGGCGGCAGUAGCAGUAGCAGCAGCAGCAGGGGCGUCAGUAGCAGCGGCGGUGCUGCUGCUACUGCUGCUGCCAUCUUGCAGGUUGAUGCCGUGUGCUGCUGCGGCUGCGGACAGGAGGCGGCAGGGCUCGGCCAGGGCGGCGGCGGGCAGGGCGGCGGGCAGGACCAGGAAGCUGUGUGUGUGGGUGUGUGUCAGGGGGUGAGAGGGGGAGGCGAGGUUAUAAGGAGCAAGGCCGACAAGGGGGUAUGGGGUCAGUACCGCUCCACCGCUGCAACCCCCUCAAGAGCGUACACACGCACCUGCCGCCGCUGCUACGUGCCCUCUGGAGUCAAACCCACCUCCCCUGGUCCGCCGCGCUCUCGCCGCACACUCCCGCCCCGCCCUGCCCCUCCGCCCUAAGUGCUAGCGGCCCUACCGUGUAAGCCACCUGCCCGCAACCCCCUGCCCCCCUCUCCAUCCCCUCCCAUGCUCACCCCUGGUUGGCGCCCUCUGAGCCAUCAUCCGGCGCAAACUCCAUUUUGAAGCCUGGUUGGCGGCAGAGGGGUGAGUGGGUGAGUGGGUGGGGGGCGGUGAGUGGGCGGGUGAGGCCGCGUGUGCACAGCGGUGGCCGGUGAGUCGGUCGGGGGCAAGACAGGGGCAAGACCGCGCUGCGUGUUCACUCAUAACAGCACGCGCGAGUGUGCAACUACGUGUGCGUGAAAGAGGUGGCUGCGUGUGCCCGAGCCACCGAAGGGGCUGAUGGGGCUGCGGGUGGGGCUAGGUGGGUGGGUGGGGCGGUAUCGACCUAAGGCCACCCCACCCCACCCUACCCCACCCCGACCCCACCCCGACCCCCCGCCCGCCCCCCUCCCUACCGUACUGCCCUGCCGCCCCUGGCACUCACCCGCCGCCUCCAGGAACUCGACGGCCCCGGGCACGCCCACCACACACGCCUGCACACGGGGGGCAGACAGCCGCACCUGCCUGCAGCGGGGCAGGGAGGGAGGGGCAGGGAGGCAGGCGGGGGGAGGGAUAGGGGGGACAGGAGGGGCAAGGAGAGGGAUUGGAAGGGGGCGUCGGAGUGCGAUAGCGGGAGCCAGCGUCUGGGUUCAUCGUCCUCAACGCCCCAGAAGCUUGCAUGGGCUGACGUCUGUCCAUGAUUCGUCAAUGCCUGGGCUGGGUGCACUUUGUUCCUCGAUCAGCGAUGUCCCAUCGCGCCUGGCAGACCAAUAGCGGAUUAUCGCCCUCGUGCCGACCAUUCGUUGGUUCUUUCUCCCGUGGUGGCCUGAAUUACAAGUUUACCUGAGUUCGCCUGCCUUGCUGACUUCUCUUGAGUGCCCGCGUCAGCGCAGCACGAUUCGAUGUAGCCAUAUCUGAAAUGGUAUCUAGGACUGCAGCGGAGCAGGCAAUUCGAAAGCACACCCAGGGGAGCACAUUAAAAGGCUUAUUGGGCUUCCUCCAGGACCAAAGUGAUGACCAACUGAGCCAGUGGAUCAUCCGGGACGUACAUGGGGAUGAAGCCAUCUUCGCCUAUUUCCGGCUUAGGGCGGCGAGAGGUGCGUGGCUUGGAUUUGGCGUCAGCGAGUCGCCGAGCAUCUUACAUGCGCCCGGCGUCUUUACUUCAUUCCUUCUCGCUGCAAGGGCGUGCUUAGUGGUCUAGCUGCUCGUUUUGCCUAGCUCCCCGGCUCCCCGGCAGCCUAGUCCUUGGCGACUUAGUCCUUGGCCGGAGGUUGGGCGUGCUGUGUGUUCGUGUGUCCAAAGCUGGUGGCACCUCUGAUCGCGUGCGCAUUCGCGCUUUGCCCUCUUGCGGCUUUCCCCACCACCUACGUGUGAUUCCAGAUGGCAACAUAAGCUUGCACACGGACCAGGGCGACGGCGACCAGCUGGGUGAGCGGGGGCAGGGGGGGCACGGCGCAGCAGUAGGGUUCGGGCAGCGUGCGGCACAUGCACAAAUGUGGUGACUGGGCACAAAGUAAAGCGUAUACAGAUUGGCUGAGGAGGAAGGGGUCGCCGAGAGGUUGACGGUGCAACUGCAGGUUGUCCGGGGCGCAUGUUGUUAGGAUGUCAUGAUGGCACCUUGACGGCACGGGUCGUGGGUUCAAUCGCGCUCCGCUGCCUGCGCCCCUCACUGCCCCCUUGCACUGCAGUCGCGUCAGUCGCCUGCUGGUGGCCCGCCUGCUGGCUCAAGUCCGUGGUAUCCAUGUGGCAAGUGCGGGAAGACGAGGGCAGCCGGCAGCAGCAGCAGGAGCAGCAGCAGCACCAAAACGCGUGCACAUGCCCGCUGCUGCAGCCCCGCACUCGGCGUCCGUGGACGACACGCACACUCCUGCCGCCACCAGCCCUGGCCUCAGCCCCAGCUGCUUCCAGCCUCCCCCCUCCCAGCACCUGUCCGCCUGCCGUCAGCGCCGCUCACAACGUGCCGGUCCCCAAUAACCGACGCUGGGCUUGUCCUAGUCCUGCGGGUGCUGACACUACUAGCGCAAACCAAGAGCAACAGGGAGAAGUGUGCAGCGCUGGCGCACAAGCUGGCGUGGUGGCGGGGCUGGCUGGAGUGCAACGCAGAUCUGGGCGGCCGUCUCCGCUGAUGCUCGCUGGGUUCAUCAUCCGCUUUGGCCAAUGAUUGGUCACAACGCCGGAGGGCUGCGCAUGCGGGCGCAUGCCGAGUUGCAGAGCAUUGGCCGAAGCGGGCGAUGAACACGGCGAGCAUAAGCUAAAACGGCCGCCCAGCUCUGCGCUGCACUCCAGGCAGCCCCGCCAUCACGCCAGUUUGUGCACCGGCGCGGCGCCCUUCUCCCUGUUGCUCGUGAUGUUUUGCGCCAUAGUGUC